AUGAGGGAAGGCACGAGAGUGGGGGGUCAUCUGCGUUUAUGUACAGUUAAAAUCGAAAUCAGGAGCCUCUUCGAUAACAGUCAACUGACUUACUCUUCCGAAAGAACGGCUAAAACCGGACUGGCGCGGGCGUGCGAGCUGAGGAGGGGGCUCGUUUCUGUCCUAACUGGAAAAGAUGACUCUAGAGAGGUCUCUGACUCUUCAGUUAGAUGACUAUCAUGCUGUUGUGGCAAACUGACAAGUAACACUUUAUCCUCGGACCUGGGAGGACCCCUUAUUCUGAUGUUUUGAUGGAAGGAGACUACGCAGAAGGCAUUCCCAGAGACCAAGCUUCCUGCUCCGUCCGCUUCUGAUGGUGUUCCAGGAGAUACCCGCAACAAUUGCGACACGCUCUAACAUCUGCUGCAGAAUUUUGGGUUACAGUGAUGAUUUGAACAACCUCAAAUGGCCAUUGAUAUUUGACUUUUAAAAUAAAUUUUGGAAGAUUCACGUAAUGGAAGCUUCUGCAAUUGACAAAAGGAAUGAGAUGCACUUCUAUUUACUGAGAGGAAAUACACUAGUAUUUCAGUCGUAGCCCAGUGCAUUAAGAGGAUACACUAGAAAUCCACUUAUUGCCAGUUUGAGAGCCUGGUAUUGCCUCUAAGAAACUUCAUCUUUUCCCCUUGACAACUCCCCCUUUGACCUCCAGUAAACAACUCCCCCUGCAUCUCAAAUCAAAGGUACAUUUUUACUACCAUUUUUUUUUUCUUUUUUAAGUUCCCACUUAUUUAAACGCCCCUUGAAUGCUUACCUGAGCUUCACAAACGAUUCUGGGAAACAAAUAGUAGAAUUUACUCAGUGUGGUUUCCAGUUAGAAGGAAGAGAGCUGAGGAGUAAACUCAACGUCUUAAUUUCUUAUUCUGUCAGUUUUGGUAAAUCAUCUCUUCAAGGGAAUCUGUCCUAAAUUGUCAAAUCUAUUUACAAAACAUUGUUCAUACUGUAUUCUUAGUAUAUUCUUGAUGUCCAUAUACUAAAAUGUAAUGUUAUCCUAUAUUUAUUCCCGGUAUUAGUAUUCUCUGUUUUCUCUUCCUUUUAUUGAACAAUCCUUGAUUUAGAACAAUAAUUUUGUCAAUCCUCCCUAAAUGCCUAUUUUUUGAUUUGUUGAUGUUCUCUGUUUGUUUUUUUUCUGUGUGUGUUCUUUUUAUAAUCUUGCUUCUAAUAUUUUAAUUUGCUGUUUUCCUCUAAAUUACUGAGAAAAAAGCUUUAACAUCAAAUAUUAAAACGUCUUUAUUCUAAUAUAUGCAAGUAGAACUAUAAAUUAGACUAUGGGCACAGUUCAGCUGCAUUAUACAAAUUUUUAUAUAUCUUAUUUUGAUUAUCAUUCAUUUUAACUAAAUGUGAUUUCUUUAAGCUAUGGCUUUGGAUGAGUGUUUUUUCAUUUAGUAACAUUUGGGGG
rnacentral:lncRNA from 1 species